rnacentral:rRNA from 1 species
CCUACGGGAGGCAGCAGUGAGGAAUAUUGGUCAAUGGGCGCGAGCCUGAACCAGCCAAGUCGCGUGAGGGAGGACGGCCCUACGGGUUGUAAACCUCUUUUGCCGGGGAGCAACGGGCGUCACGUGUGGCGCCACUGAGAGUACCCGGAGAAAAAGCAUCGGCUAACUCCGUGCCAGCAGCCGCGGUAAUACGGGGGAUGCGAGCGUUAUCCGGAUUUAUUGGGUUUAAAGGGUGGGUAGGCGGGUUGUUAAGUCAGUGGUAAAAUUUAGGGGCUCAACCCCUUCCCGCCGUUGAAACUGGCGCUCUUGAGUGGAAGAGAAGUAUGCGGAAUGCGUGGUGUAGCGGUGAAAUGCAUAGAUAUCACGCAGAACCCCGAUUGCGAAGGCAGCAUGCCGGCUUCCGACUGACGCUGAAGCACGAAAGCGUGGGGAUCGAACAGGAUUAGAGACCCCUGUAGUC